GACGAACGCUGGCGGCGUGCUUAACACAUGCAAGUCGAACGGUGAAGCGCUUUCCUUUUUGGUUGGUGUGGAUGAGUGGCGAACGGGUGAGUAACACGUGAGUAACCUGCCCCCUUCUUCUGGAUAACCGCAUGAAAGUGUGGCUAAUACGGGAUAUUCUGCGCCUGCUGCAUGGUGGGUGUGGGAAAGAUUGUGCCUUUGGGUGUUUUCGGUGGGGGAUGGGCUCGCGGCCUAUCAGCUUGUUGGUGGGGUGAUGGCCUACCAAGGCGGUGACGGGUAGCCGGCCUGAGAGGGUGGACGGUCACACUGGGACUGAGACACGGCCCAGACUCCUACGGGAGGCAGCAGUGGGGAAUAUGGCACAAUGGGCGCAAGCCUGAUGCAGCGACGCCGCGUGAGGGAGGGAGGCCUUCGGGGUGUGAACCUCUUUCGCCAGUGAAGCAGGCCUGCUCCUUGUGGGUGGGUUGACGGUAGCUGGAUAAGAAGCGCCGGCUAACUACGUG
rnacentral:rRNA from 1 species